CGCAGAGGGCCCGAGGCCCCGGAGGCGGCCCCCUCCCGGCGCCGCGGCGUGGCCGUGCCCCGCACACAGCGUCGCUGCACCGCCACGACGGCCCGGAACCCUUAAGGCCCACCCAUAAGAUGCAGGUGUGGCCAGGAGUCAGCAAUACUAACCUCACGACUGAUCUUCCCGUGACAGAUUUACAAUAAAUCGAAGCACCUCCAUGGAGCAGGACAAAAAAGCAGCCCUCAAGAUGGAGCCCACGCAGGGGGAAUCUCAGAGAAAGCCCACCCAUCCCUGAUCAGUUCUGAUGCUAUCUCUGGGUUUGUGAUGGAAGGACUGAGAUUUCUCUGACCUUGGACCCUUGAAGAGUCUAUAGGAAGGGAAGCAGGUCUUGGCCGCAAAGCCCUUGACAUGCAUCCGGGCUCCACCAAGAAACCACCGUUUCCCAAUGACAUUGGGGGAAGUCCCCUGCAUCUUCAGUUUCCUCAUCUGCCCAAGGGAGGAGGAUUGUAAAGAAGACUCUUAACAUCUCCAACCCGGGGCUCUAAGUGUGAGGGAAGGCAGCACACGGAGAUUCUUGGACUUCAAAGGACCCUGGGGGCACUUAGUUUCACCUUGAGAAAGGUGCACAUCUCUUUCUGAAAUGCGGUCCUUUGCUAAGCAGUUUGGUAGUAGAAUUAGGCACGCAGACCCUGGAAACAGGCUAUCCAGGCUCAAAUCUGACCUAGACCUGCAGUAUACUACCCAUGUGACCUUGGGCUACUUUUACUCAGUCUCUCUGUGCCUCAAUUUCCUCAUCUCUGAAAUGGAGAUUAAUAGCAACACCUAUCUCACAGGGCACUGGAGGGUUUAACUGAGCUCCUGCAUGUAAAGCACUUAGAAGCAUGCCUGGCACAGGGUAGCUGUUCCUAUGAGUUGCCCAAACCUCUGGAUGCAACCUCAGCCCUUGCCAGUCUUCUUGGUUCUCCUCCACUGACUGCCAUCAUUUCUGUCCCAGCACCAGUGCCAGGAUCUCUGCCUCCUCUAGGUCCCAGCUCCUGCAGGAAUGGGAUGGAGGAGGGCAGGACGCCUGUGAAUUGCCUGCUUGAUGAGUACUUUGUCGGAGGAAUCUCUUUGUGCCAGUGCUUUACUUAUUUUCUGCUAGGGAAGGAAGUGGAGUCAGUGUCUCUUCCUUUCUCCUCAAUCCUACCCAGAGAUGAGCCAGCUGCACGAAAACCUGUGCCCUUGGCUUUAAGGAGGAAGAGAGGGAGGAAGAUCUAGUUGAUCCAUCCCCACCAGGAAGGAUCCUGUUCAGAGGCAGGUAGUUUACUGCACAGAAGUAUUAAUGUUACUCUCUCUCUCUCUCUCCACACACACACACACACACACGCACACGCACACACUCACACUCACACCAGCUCCCUGAGGGCAGGAACUCUUCUGUUGUGUAUUCUGCUGUAUCCCAGCGCCUUAAAAUAUUGUCUGGCACAGAACAAGCACCUCAAUAAAUAAUCAAUAGAAGGACCAGAUCUGCUUCUGUAGCAGGGUUAUUUUCCACAUUGGGAGGUGAUGGUCAGAUUGUGUAGCCAAGAAAAGAACACACUUCCAAGUUCUCCCCUUAAUAGUUUAAUUCUCUCAUUUAUCUAAAGGGGCCCCUCUUUUGACACUUCCACCACGCACACACCUCUAAGCGGUUAGGCUCCAGGAGAGACAAGAUUGCAAGGGUCUGUAUUUCAUUUACUACCUUCAAAGACAUUGGGAAAUCCAUGUGACCUCCUAGGGGUUCGGUGAUCCGCCCACGGAAAGGAGCUGGUCCACAGUUGAGGCCCCUCCUUGGUUGUUUGGUUAAAGCACAACGAGGAGACCAACUGGUGUCAGUGUUUUCUUUUCUGAGGGGGGAGGGACCUUGUUUUUUGG